rnacentral:rRNA from 1 species
GAUGAACGCUGGCGGCGUGCCUAAUACAUGCAAGUCGAGCGGACAGACGAGGAGCUUGCUCCUCUGACGUUAGCGGCGGACGGGUGAGUAACACGUGGAUAACCUACCUAUAAGACUGGGAUAACUUCGGGAAACCGGAGCUAAUACCGGAUAAUAUAUUGAACCGCAUGGUUCAAUAGUGAAAGACGGUUUUGCUGUCACUUAUAGAUGGAUCCGCGCCGCAUUAGCUAGUUGGUAAGGUAACGGCUUACCAAGGCGACGAUGCGUAGCCGACCUGAGGGGGUGAUCGGCCACACUGGAACUGAGACACGGUCCAGACUCCUACGGGAGGCAGCAGUAGGGAAUCUUCCGCAAUGGGCGAAAGCCUGACGGAGCAACGCCGCGUGAGUGAUGAAGGUCUUCGGAUCGUAAAACUCUGUUAUUAGGGAAGAACAAAUGUGUAAGUAACUAUGCACGUCUUGACGGUACCUAAUCAGAAAGCCACGGCUAACUACGUG